UGAACGCUGGCGGCGUGCCUAAUACAAGCAAGUCGAGCGAACAGACGAGGAGCUUGCUCCUCUGAAGUUAGCGGCGGACGGGUGAGUAACACGUGGAUAACCUACCUAUAAGACUGGGAUAACUUCGGGAAACCGGAGCUAAUACCGGAUAACAUGUUGAACCGCAUGGUUCAACAGUGAAAGAUGGUCUUGCUGUCACUUAUAGAUGGAUCCGCGCCGCAUUAGCUAGUUGGUAAGGUAACGGCUUACCAAGGCAACGAUGCGUAGCCGACCUGAGAGGGUGAUCGGCCACACUGGAACUGAGACACGGUCCAGACUCCUACGGGAGGCAGCAGUAGGGAAUCUUCCGCAAUGGGCAAAAGCCUGACGGAGCAACGCCGCGUGAGUGAAGAAGGUCUUCGGAUCGUAAAACUCUGUUAUUAGGGAAGAACAAAUGUGUAAGUAACUAUGCACGUCUUGACGGUACCUAAUCAGAAAGCCACGGCUAACUACGUGCCAGCAGCCGCGGUAAUACGUAGGUGGCAAGCGUUAUCCGGAAUUAUUGGGCGUAAAGCGCGCGUAGGCGGUUUUUUAAGUCUGAUGCGAAAGCCCACGGCUCAACCGUGGAGGGUCAUUGGAAACUGGAAAACUUGAGUGCAGAAGAGGAGAGUGGAAUUCCAUGUGUAGCGGUGAAAUGCGCAGAGAUAUGGAGGAACACCAGUGGCGAAGGCGACUUUCUGGUCUGUAACUGACGCUGAUGUGCGAAAGCGUGGGGAUCGAACAGGAUUAGAUACCCUGGUAGUCCACGCCGUAAACGAUGAGUGCUAAGUGUUAGGGGGUUUCCGCCCCUUAGUGCUGCAGCUAACGCAUUAAGCACUCCGCCUGGGGAGUACGACCGCAAGGUUGAAACUCAAAGGAAUUGACGGGGACCCGCACAAGCGGUGGAGCAUGUGGUUUAAUUCGAAGCAACGCGAAGAACCUUACCAAAUCUUGACAUCCUCUGACCCCUCUAGAGAUAGAGUUUUCCCCUUCGGGGGACAGAGUGACAGGUGGUGCAUGGUUGUCGUCAGCUCGUGUCGUGAGAUGUUGGGUUAAGUCCCGCAACGAGCGCAACCCUUAAGCUUAGUUGCCAUCAUUAAGUUGGGCACUCUAAGUUGACUGCCGGUGACAAACCGGAGGAAGGUGGGGAUGACGUCAAAUCAUCAUGCCCCUUAUGAUUUGGGCUACACACGUGCUACAAUGGACAAUACAAAGGGUAGCGAAACCGCGAGGUCAAGCAAAUCCCAUAAAGUUGUUCUCAGUUCGGAUUGUAGUCUGCAACUCGACUACAUAAAGCUGGAAUCGCUAGUAAUCGUAGAUCAGCAUGCUACGGUGAAUACGUUCCCGGGUCUUGUACACACCGCCCGUCACACCACGAGAGUUUGUAACACCCGAAGCCGGUGGAGUAACCUUUUGGAGCUAGCCGUCGAAGGUGGGACAAAUGAUUGGGGUGAAGUCGUAACAAGGUAGCCGUAUCGGAAGG
rnacentral:rRNA from 1 species